GAUGAACGCUGGCGGCGUGCCUAAUACAUGCAAGUCGAGCGAACAGACGAGGAGCUUGCUCCUCUGACGUUAGCGGCGGACGGGUGAGUAACACGUGGAUAACCUACCUAUAAGACUGGGAUAACUUCGGGAAACCGGAGCUAAUACCGGAUAAUAUAUUGAACCGCAUGGUUCAAUAGUGAAAGACGGUUUUGCUGUCACUUAUAGAUGGAUCCGCGCCGCAUUAGCUAGUUGGUAAGGUAACGGCUUACCAAGGCAACGAUGCGUAGCCGACCUGAGAGGGUGAUCGGCCACACUGGAACUGAGACACGGUCCAGACUCCUACGGGAGGCAGCAGUAGGGAAUCUUACGCAAUGGGCGAAAGCCUGACGGAGCAAAGCCGCGUGAGUGAUGAAGGUCUUCGGAUAGUAAAACUCUGUUAUUAGGGAAGAACAAAUGUGUAAGUAACUAUGAACGUCUUGACGGUACCUAAUCAGAAAGCCACGGCUAACUACGUG
rnacentral:rRNA from 1 species